rnacentral:rRNA from 1 species
GAAACGUGGAUUAAUACUCCAUAGUAUCGUUUUUUCGCAUGUUAAAACGAUUAAAACUUCGGUGGUAUAAGAUGGGCAUGCGUAGGAUUAGGUAGUUGGUGAGGUAACGGCUCACCAAGCCAGCGAUCCUUAGGGGUUCUGAGAGGAUUAUCCCCCACACUGGUACUGAGACACGGACCAGACUCCUACGGGAGGCAGCAGUGAGGAAUAUUGGUCAAUGGACGAGAGUCUGAACCAGCCAUCCCGCGUGCAGGAUGACGGCCCUAUGGGUUGUAAACUGCUUUUCUACGCCAAGAAAUGCACUUACGUGUAAGUGUUUGACGGUAGCGUAGGAAUAAGCAUCGGCUAACUCCGUGCCAGCAGCCGCGGUAAUACGGAGGAUGCAAGCGUUAUCCGGAUUCAUUGGGUUUAAAGGGUGCGCAGGCGGGCUUGUAAGUCAGUGGUGAAAUACUGCCGCUCAACGGUAGAACUGCCAUUGAUACUGCAAGUCUUGAAUAUGGUUGAGGUAGGCGGAAUGUGUCGUGUAGCGGUGAAAUGCAUAGAUAUGACACAGAACGCCAAUUGCGAAGGCAGCUUACUAAGCCA